AAUUCAGUUUUCUUCUUAUCCUUAAAAAUGAGGCUGUCACGCCCCGGAUUACUCGUUUUCUCGGGCACGCCGACAAAUCCGCCGUAUACAAAGAAAUUUUUCCUAUAUACGAAGCGAUAGCUGUACCUGUAAACAUACAAUACUUCAACUAGUAGUAUAGAGCUGCUAAAAAGAAUACAUAUAUAAAAAACAUCGGUUCAAUACAUACAUAAAAUCUUGGUAGAAAAACACUCGCUCCAGCAAGGAAUAACAUCAGUAUGUAAAGAACCAAAAACUACAACUACCUGUAGCUGGUACUCCCCUAGCUCUGCAACUCGCCAGGAAGGGCUCUAACUCGCAACACCCUUUCCACGAUUAGAAUCAGCAGUAGCAGCAGCCGCUACCGGAGGCUCUGCAA
rnacentral:lncRNA from 1 species